rnacentral:tRNA from 1 species
GGCCACUUAGCUCAGUUGGUAGAGCGCUUCGUUUACAUCGAAGAUGUCGGGGGUCCGAGUCCCUCAGUGGCUA